CUUUUCCUGUCGUGUCCCCUUCUUUGUCCUGUCCUGUGUCACGGGUGUCUGCACACAUUUGUCCCACAGCUGCUCUGCCCUGCUGCAUAGCCUGUAAUAGCACAAGUCCUGGGGACUUGAAAUUUGUAAUGCAGGGUGUAGUUGGGCUCUAGAUUGGAUUAGGAGAUUGACAUAACAUGUUUGGUGCUGUUAAGUUGUCCUGCAGCCAUUUGACACUAGUCCUAACUUCCUUUCAGAUGCAGACAGUUCAGAUCCGUGGCAGAGAGCCCCAGUCCUGGGUGAGGGUUUUCCCAUGAGCAGGUCAGUCAUUGUUUGCAUUUGCAGGGGCAGCCUAAAUGGUGACUGUGUUACAGCAGUGUUCUUUGCCUUUAUUUUUGGGAGGUCCAGGCAGAUAGCAGCAGUCAAGGCCCUGUGUGCCAGGCAGUCUUCUUGCAAGAUGUCUCUGGUCCGGAUGUCCAAGGCCAGGUGCUGUCUCUGCCCUAGCUGUGUGAAGGAACAGAGGCGAGCGGGUAUCCUCCAGGCAGCCUGUGGAGUCAAAUUGAGACUUCAGGUGAGCUGGGGCAGCGGUGUGUCGGAGUUUUGGGGAUUCCUCUUUUCGUGGGCACUGGUUGCAUUUUCUGUUUUGUCUUAGGUACCCUGAGGAGGAGCGUAGCUGAAGUUUGUUAACGGCAGCACCGAAGCGGAUGUACAGAACGUCUUGUCGUCCACAUCGAACUGACAUUGGAUUCCAUCCGGUUGUCUUGCAAAAGCUAAGUGCUGGGGCCAGUAGGUGGGAGAUGGGGGGAAAACCUUUACUAUCACAGGAGGCUAUUUGAUGUUAGCUUGGAGAAUAGGCCCAUAGUGGGACGGGCCCCUCGGGAGCAAAGGGAGAGGGUUUCUCCUCAG
rnacentral:lncRNA from 1 species